CCUACGGGUGGCAGCAGUGGGGAAUAUUGGACAAUGGGGGCAACCCUGAUCCAGCCAUGCCGCGUGUGUGAAGAAGGCCCUCGGGUUGUAAAGCACUUUCAGUGAGGAAGAACGCCUGGUGGUUAAUACCCAUCAGGAAAGACAUCACUCACAGAAGAAGCACCGGCUAACUCCGUGCCAGCAGCCGCGGUAAUACGGAGGGUGCGAGCGUUAAUCGGAAUUACUGGGCGUAAAGCGCGCGUAGGUGGCUUGAUAAGCCGGUUGUGAAAGCCCCGGGCUCAACCUGGGAACGGCAUCCGGAACUGUCAGGCUAGAGUGCAGGAGAGGAGGGUAGAAUUCCCGGUGUAGCGGUGAAAUGCGUAGAGAUCGGGAGGAAUACCAGUGGCGAAGGCGGCCUUCUGGACUGACACUGACACUGAGGUGCGAAAGCGUGGGUAGCAAACAGGAUUAGAUACCCCAGUAGUC
rnacentral:rRNA from 1 species